AGCACUCAAUAAAUAACUUUGAUUGAUGGAUUCUUUGAAGGGUAUAUGAUGUCAUUAACAGUCCAUUAUGAUCCAUUUGUGAACCACAAUGCUUGGCCUCCCCUAGUACUGGGAACAACUCAGCAGUGACUGGCAUCCCAAAUCUAUGUCUCCUCCAAAUAGUUUGAGGGCUGUGGAGAAUAGAGGAAUUGAAGAAAAAACAGUUCUAUCAAAGAAAACUGGAUUUCUGGAAGGAGACUUCAUCCAAAAUCACCAACAAGACAUAGCAUGGCAGAGGAAUUAGGGAACAUUCUUCCUUCUUGCCACUUUACAGUGGUGAAGAUGACAAGUCCUACUAGAAGGCAGUGCAAGAGUUGAGCUUUCCUGGCCCAGCAGAGUUCAUGCGUAUGGAUGGGGGCUUCCUAAAGUUCUGAAAAAGAAAAUUUAAUCAGAAAAAUAAUCAUCUCUGCUGCGAUAGAGAAAAGGGGGCCCAGCAUGCCCAGCCGAACAGCUGUGGACCACCAAAAAAGUCAACUGGAGCUGGAAGGAGAUAUGGUCUUUGCUUUGACUCUUCUUCUUCUUUAUAAAGUUAGUAGUAAUGAGGAACACAUACGCAUCUACGUGUGCCUAAGACAAGCCUACUUGGAAAAGUUUGCAACUCCAUCACUAAAUAAAGCAGGUACUCUGAAA